rnacentral:rRNA from 1 species
GUCUUAUUGAAAUAAAUAGUAAGUCGAUUUCUGCCCAUUGAAUUAAUUUUUAAAAGGCUGCGGUAUAUUAACUGUACAAAGGUAGCAAAAUAAAUAGUUUUUUAAUUGAAAACUUGAAUGAAAGAAUUGAUAAAAUAUAAAUUGUCUCAAUUUAAAAAAAUAAAUUUAAAUUAAAAGUUAAAAUGCUUUUAUAUUUUUAUUAGACGAUAAGACCCUAAGAAUUUUAUAUUUAUUUUUAAAUUAAUUUAUUAAAUUUAAUAAAAUAGUUAGUUUAAAUAAAAAUAUUUUAUUGGGAGGGUAAUUAAAAUUAAAAACUUUAAUUUUUAAUUAACAAUUUAUAGAUGAAUAUUUAAUGAUUAUUAUUAUAAUUAUAAGAAUAAAUUACCUUAGGGAUAACAGCGUAAUAAUUUUGGAGAGUUCAUAUUGAUAAAAUUGAUUGCGACCUCGAUGUUGAAUUAAAAUAAAAAUUAAAUGGAGAUAUUUAAAUUUUUAGUCUGUUCGACUAUUAAAAUUUUACA